rnacentral:rRNA from 1 species
AACACGACCGUACCGCAAACCGACACUGGUGCGCGAGAUGAGUAAUCUAAGGCGCUUGAGAGAACUCAGGAGAAGGAACUCGGCAAAUUGACACCGUAACUUCGGAAGAAGGUGUGCCUUUAGUAGGUGAACCUGUACAAGGGGAGCCCAAUGAGGUUGCAAAAAAUCGGUGGCUGCGACUGUUUAAUAAAAACACAGCACUCUGCAAACACGAAAGUGGACGUAUAGGGUGUGACGCCUGCCCGGUGCUGGAAGAUUAAAUGAUGGGGUGCAAGCUCUUGAUUGAAGUCCCAGUAAACGGCGGCCGUAACUAUAACGGUCCUAAGGUAGCGAAAUUCCUUGUCGGGUAAGUUCCGACCUGCACGAAUGGCGUAACGAUGGCCACACUGUCUCCUCCUGAGACUCAGCGAAGUUGAAAUGUUUGUGAUGAUGCAAUCUCCCCGCGGAAAGACGGAAAGACCCCAUGAACCUUUACUGUAGCUUUGUAUUGGACUUUGAACAGAUCUGUGUAGGAUAGGUGGGAGGCUUUGAAGUGUGGUCGCUAGAUCGCAUGGAGCCAACGUUGAAUACCACCCUGGUGUGUUUGAGGUUCUAACCUAGGCCCGUAAUCCGGGUCGGGGACAGUGCAUGGUAGGCAGUUUGACUGGGGCGGCCUCCUCCCAAAGCGUAACGGAGGAGUUCGAAGGUACGCUAGGUACGGUCGGACAUCGUGCUAAUAGUGCAAUGGCAUAAGCGUGCUUAACUGCGAGACUGACAAGUCGAGCAGAUGCGAAAGCAGGACAUAGUGAUCCGGUGGUUCUGUAUGGAAGGGCCAUCGCUCAACGGAUAAAAGGUACUCUGGGGAUAACAGGCUGAUACCGCCCAAGAGUUCAUAUCGACGGCGGUGUUUGGCACCUCGAUGUCGGCUCAUCUCAUCCUGGGGCUGUAGCCGGUCCCAAGGGUAUGGCUGUUCGCCAUUUAAAGAGGUACGUGAGCUGGGUUUAAAACGUCGUGAGACAGUUUGGUCCCUAUCUUCCGUGGGCGCUGCAGAUUUGAGGAAGCCUGCUCCUAGUACGAGAGGACCGGAGUGGACACACCUCUGGUGUAUCGGUUGUCACGCCAGUGGCAUUGCCGAGUAGCUAUGUGUGGAAGAGAUAACCGCUGAAAGCAUCUAAGCGGGAAACUCGUUUCAAGAUGAGAUCUGCCGGGGCCUUGAGCCCCCUAAAGAGUCGUUCAAGACCAGGACGUUGAUAGGUCGGGUGUGGAAGCGCAGUAAUGCGUUAAGCUAACCGAUACUAAUUUCAA